rnacentral:rRNA from 1 species
GACGAACCGUGCGAACGUUAUUCGGAAAUCACUGGGCUUAAAGCGCGUGUAGGCGGAUGGGAACGUCGGUAGUUGAAAGCCCCCGGCUCAACCGGGGAAGUGGUGCCGAAACGACCCGUCUGGAGGGACGUAGGGGACCUGGAACUUCCGGUGGAGCGGUGAAAUGCGUUGAGAUCGGAAGGAACGCCCGUGGCGAAAGCGAGGUCCUGGACGUCUACUGACGCUGAGGCGGCG